AGAGUUUGAUCCUGGCUCAGAACGAACGUUGGCGGCGUGGAUUAGGCAUGCAAGUCGAACGAAUCCCUGUCCUGUAGCAAUACAGGAUGGGGGGAAGUGGCGAAAGGGGCAGUAAUGUAUGGGUAACCUACCCCAGGGUCGUGGAUAGCCUUCCUAACGGAUGGGUAAUACACGGCGAUUCGGCGAGGGGGCAUCUCUUUGCCGGGAAAGAAUUUCGCCUUGGGAGGGGCUCAUAUCGUAUUAGCUAGUUGGUGAGGUAACGGCUCACCAAGGCAAAGAUGCGUAGCGGGUGUGAGAGCACGACCCGCGCCACUGGCACUGAGACACUGGCCAGACACCUACGGGUGGCUGCAGUCGAGGAUCUUCGGCAAUGGGCGCAAGCCUGACCGAGCGACGCCGCGUGGAGGAUGAAGGCCUUCGGGUUGUAAACUCCUGUCGAGGGGGAUCAAAGCCGCAAGGCUUGGGUGAUCCCUGGAGGAAGCACGGGCUAAGUUCGUGCCAGCAGCCGCGGUAAGACGAACCGUGCGAACGUUGUUCGGAAUCACUGGGCAUAAAGGGCGCGUAGGCGGCUCAUAAAGUCAGGGGUGAAAUCCGGCAGCUUAACUGUCGAAGUGCCUUUGAUACUGAUGAGCUCGAGGGAGGUAGGGGUCUGUGGAACUUCCGGUGGAGCGGUGAAAUGCGUUGAUGUCGGAAGGAACGCCGGUGGCGAAAGCGACGGACUGGACCUCUUCUGACGCUGAGGCGCGAAAGCUAGGGGAGCAAACGGGAUUAGAUACCCCUGUAGUCC
rnacentral:rRNA from 1 species